rnacentral:rRNA from 1 species
AUGGCUUCCACCAGCACCACCUUACCUGAUUGGUUGAUGUUCGACCGCUUCGUGUUCUGGAGCGAGAACUUCACCUUCCCCAAGGACGCCGAUUCAACCCUGGCCACCGGCACCAACUCCAUGGAUAAAAAGUUCCAGAUCUGCUUCAAACUCGUUGAGCCGCCGGAGGUGUCCCGCCUUUAUCUGCAGAUGGAUGAAGGCUUGUCGCAGUCCCAUAGCUUCGACAUCGUCGCCGCCCACCGCGCCGCGGUGCUCCUCCAGAUGAGUUAUCCUAUCCUUGUGCCAGGCUACGAGAACAUCAUCCCGAUGAUCGACUACUUCCUCUACUAUACCGCCGGUGGUGGCUCUCCGCCGUCUCUACAGCGGCUACCCCCUCUUGACGGGACCAUUGCCCAGGUCCAGGACCAAAUCAAGGCCAGUGCUGACGUCAUGACGAAUCAGUUUUUGCGCAGGCUGAAGUGCCUUGACCUAGGCGUCCUGUGCCGCGGAGAGGAUGAGGUCGCCGUCGCACAGCUCGAGAUCACCGAGUCCGGGGCGCCACCUAAACUCCAGGUCCUGUGCCCGUCUAUCUCUCGCAGUUGGGAGGUCAAGCAUCCGCCCAUCGUACCCUGCGACGAUGUGAAGGAAUUUGAUUUGGAGGAGGUCUUUAAGAACUUUGAUUGUGACGUCCGGGUAAUUAAGCUACAGUGA